rnacentral:lncRNA from 1 species
UUCUUUUUAAUUGAAUGAUUGAAGUCCUUCCUUUUAGAGAUGAGGAAAAUGAGGUCUGGAGGGAAAGAAUUGCUCGCUCAAGGUCACAUAGCUCAUUAGUGACAGAGGAGUAGAGGGAGCUGAUGGGAGGAUGGCAAAAACACACUUGGCAUGGUUGGGAGUUUUGCUGAGGGGUGACCCAGCCAUCCAGUGGCAAGAGGAGAGACAAACUAAAUGAAGGGAGAAAGAAAGGAAUUAUUUUCAGGAUUUAAAAAGGUUAAGAACCUGUAGAAAACACACAGAUGCAAAAUAUCAGGAGUGUGUGUAUCUAUGGGGAGGGGGAAGCAAUCUUAGAGACAGCCAGCUGCUCAGGUGGAGUAUCACUCACUGUGCUGAUGGCAACCAUGGAAACUGGAGGAGUCCCCAUCUGCCUGCAGCCGGCUGUGGAGGAAUGCUGAGUGAGCUGCCCUUGGGAGGAGCACAAAGAUGGCGGCUGGAGGAGACUCAGAUGGGGGUGACUGUGCCCAGGGUUAGCUUUUGGAUAACGCUCAGGAGGGAUUCAAGUUGCCUUAGCAGGUUGCAGCAGCUCCAACUGGAUGUUGUAGUUGGACAUCAAUGGACUGGCUCUUGGAACAAUCCAGAAGGAAUAAAAGGACUCAAAAAUAGCCAGUGGGGAUGGAGAAGUCCAACCCUAGCCAACUACCCCUGAGUAAGAGUUAAAAAAAAAUAAUAAAGUAACUGUUUAAGUGGACA